CUGCUAUAUGCAUUUGUAUCUAAUAAACCUUACCAUCUUUUUUUAAUAUUAGUCAGACCGUACGCGUACGGUCCGCCCGUAUGAGUAUUUUUUUAAAGUACGCAUACUGUCCAGACCGUACGCGUACGGUCCAAAUACUCAUACGGUCUGGAACAUAUAUUAAGUAGUUAUAUAAAAUCUACAGUCCGAGUUUAUACCGUGUUCCCUCAUCACAC
rnacentral:lncRNA from 1 species